rnacentral:rRNA from 1 species
GAUGAACGCUGGCGGCGUGCCUAAUACAUGCAAGUCGAGCGAACAGACGAGGAUCUUGCUCCUCUGACGUUAGCGGCGGACGGGUGAGUAACACGUGGAUAACCUACCUAUAAGACUGGGAUAACUUCGGGAAACCUGAGCUAAUACCGGAUAACAUGUUGAACCGCAUGGUUCAACAGUGAAAGACGGUCUUGCUGUCACUUAUAGAUGGAUCCGCGCCGCAUUAGCUAGUUGGUAAGGUAACGGCUUACCAAGGCAACGAUGCGUAGCCGACCUGAGAGGGUGAUCGGCCACACUGGAACUGAGACACGGUCCAGACUCCUACGGGAGGCAGCAGUAGGGAAUCUUCCGCAAUGGGCGAAAGCCUGACGGAGCAACGCCGCGUGAGUGAAGAAGGUCUUCGGAUCGUAAAACUCUGUUAUUAGGGAAGAACAAAUGUGUAAUUAACUAUGCACGUCUUGACGGUACCUAAACAGAAAGCCACGGCUAACUACGUG